CUCCCCUGCUGCCGCUCUCUGCAGCUGGCAGAGGACAGGAGCCGAGCGGCCGAGCACCUGCGCCGGGCCCUGCGCUACCUGCAGAGCCCACGGGAGCCCCUGCGAGAGGCGGCCAUCCGGUUCAUGGGGGUGGCCGGGAUGGUCAUGAGGGGGCAGCAAGAGCUCGAGGUCCUCAAUGAGGCCCUUCAAGGCCCGAGAAGAGAUGAGACCCCCUUCCCAAAUUAACAUAGUAGUUCAGCGGAAAAUCACUGAGAGAUAUGCAGAACUUCCUUUAUCUGGUGGCUCAGAAAAACCAUUGCUCCUAAAAGUUCUAAAAACACCAUGGAAAAGGAGACCACCUGGAGAGACCAGAAGAGACCAGCUGGAGCUCCAGGCACAGCUGAUGAUGGGCACAGCUGAGCCUGUGGGAAACUUGCAUGGCUUCAGAUAUGCUUAUAGAUAGCUCCUUCCCUCCAGCCCUCAGACUGUACCCAUCCCUUCUUUUUCCCUCCACUCUCCCUUCCUUUUCACAGCUCUUUCCCUUCAGCCCUCAGACCCUGCCCAUCCCCUUUUUUCCCUCCCAGAUCAUCCCUUUGCUUUGCCUUCCAUUAAUAAACAGUUUGGCUUCUUCACUUUGCCUGCAUCUCUGUGGAGCUGAAGCGGCGCA